CCUACGGGUGGCAGCAGUGGGGAAUAUUGCACAAUGGGGGGAACCUUGAUGCAGCAACGCCGCGUGGGUGAAGAAGUCCUCCGGUAUGUAAAGCCCUGUCAGCAGGGAAGAACAUGACGGUACCUGACCUAGAAGCCCCGGCUAACUACGUGCCAGCAGCCGCGGUAAUACGUAGGGGGCAAGCGUUAUCCGGAUUUACUGGGUGUAAAGGGAGCGUAGACGGGAAGGCAAGUCUGGAGUGAAAGCCCGCGGCCCAACCACGGGACUGCUUUUGAAACUGUGUUGCUUGAGUGCAGGAGGGGUAAGCGGAAUUCCUAGUGUAGCGGUGAAAUGCGUAGAUAUUAGGAGGAACACCGGUGGCGAAGGCGGCUUACUGGACGGUAACUGACGGUGAGGCUCGAAGGCGUGGGGAGCAAACAGGAUUAGAUACCCCAGUAGUC
rnacentral:rRNA from 1 species